rnacentral:lncRNA from 1 species
AUGGAAUUAGCGGUGCGCAACCGUAAAAAAACAAAAGAAAAAAGCCCCCUGUCGGAUUUUCAGUUGGUUGCAGUUUGCGACUUCACCACAAGAUGGCGCCAUAUAAGUACCAUGCUAAAAAUAUAUAUGUGUCCAAUGCGCUGCUGCUGUGGCUGGAAGGGAGCGGCGAGAGAAAACCAAGAAACUCAAGUCAUAACAGGCAUCAUUUCAUCAUGUGACAGAAGUUACAAGCUGCAUUAUAAAAUGGGGAAUUGACUUUUAAAGGUACAGGUGUUUAGGCAGGGAGGUGCCAACUACAGAUGGCAUUUGGAAUUUGGUAAUCGUAGGAUCCAGUGCUUUUUUAAAUAAAACAUUCUGUAUCUCUUGUGAGUCUUAACUUUACAGAUGUGCAAUACUACUGUAAAUUGGCCCCACAUCUUGUGAGCCAAGAAAUAAAAAAAUUGACUAAACAAGUGUGAAAUGGCACAAAGUAUGUGGAAAUUCCCUGCAAUAUAAGACAAAUGUUCUGAAUCUAAGAACAAUUGAAGCUGCAAGUCGGGGUGUGUCAAUGUUCAAUCUGGUUUCAAGUCUUACAAAGGUUUCAUUGAUUUGGAAGUCCUGUACCCAUUUAUGAGCUGCCAACAGAAUUAGUAAACGGAAGGUGACGAGCCAUGUUGCUGUGGUCGGUAUGGCUCAGUAGACAAGAACACUGACUUUGGCUCAGUUGGUCGUGGGUUCAAGACCAACUCAUUGGAGCAUCUGUGGUAAAGGAGAGCUAGACAAUGUGCUUUCAGGUCUUUGGACGAUUUUGUAUGCAAUACCCACCUUCACCCAACAGAGGUAGAAAGAGAAGACGACGACCGGAAAUUGCUGUGGCUUGUGUGGCACAAUGAACAAGAACACUGACUUUGGAUCAGUAGGUUCGAGGGUUCAAGACCGACUCGCGGAGGAGUGGUAAGACCGUUUAACGGAGGUGUUGCGCAUGGUGGGAAAGAAUUGACUUUGGCUCAGUAGGUUCAAGAGUUCAAAUCCGAUUCAGGGAGAUAUAAGCAUCCAGUGUCUGUAUUGACAGCUAAAGGUCGAUGGGGUAUAACAUGCUACGGCAAGGGGGAGCCAGGACUUUAGGUAGGAGGGGGGAAUCAUCAUUAUCCCUGUUAAUAUGUAAAUAAUUGAAUUGGAAGUCUAAGUACCUCCUAGAAGAUACCUUAAGAUGAAAACCCCAGAUAAGAGAAAGUCUCAACGCCCCUGACAGUCUCUAGUUGGUAAUCCAGCGCUGGGAUGCACAGGUUAGUCCAGGGACAGAUGAACAGAACCCUGAACGUGGUUGGUUCUUCUUUUUUAAUAUAUAGUUGAUAUAAUACUAUAUAUAGUAGUGUGUAUUUGAUAAUAGUUAUAGUAUUAUUAUGAUAAUAAUACUAUAACUAUUAUUACCAAGAAAACAUCUAUCAACUGUCUUAAGAAAGUUUAUAUAUAUAAUAAUAUAUCUAUCUAUAUAUCUAUCUAUAUAUAUCAACUGUCUUAAUAAGACAGUUGUUAGGUAAAACUGUCUUAAGACAGUUGAUUAGACCUUUCUUAACAACUGUCUGGGGUUAUCAUCCAAGGUAUCUUCUAGGAGGUACUUUGACUUCCAAUUCAAUUAUUUACUUACAUACACUGAAACAUAUUAAUUUACAGGGAUAAUGAUAAUUCCCCCCACACUUCAGCUGUGAAUACAGUCACUGGAUGCUUAUAUCUCCCUGCAUUGGAUUUGAACCCUCGGAACCUACCUGAUCCAAAGUCAGUGUUCUUGUCCACUGUGCCACACCAGCCACAAUAAUUUUGUUUGUCAUCUUCCCUUUCUAGCUCUGUUGGGUGAAGGUGGGUAUUGCAUACAAAAUCGUCCAAAGACUUGAAAGCACAUUGUUUGACUUCCCUUUGCCACAGAUUCUCCCUGAGACGGUAUUGAACCCUCGACCUACUGAACCAAAGUCAGUGUUCUUGUCCACUGAGCCACACCGGCUACAGCGAUGUCACUUGUCACCUUUCCUUUCUAUCAAUAAAUGAGUGCGAGUAUAGCACGCAAAAACAGACCAGGUUGAGUCAAAUUUCACUUCAGUGGAACUCCAUCCAAAGCUUCCUCUUGCCGUUGCUUAUUUUAUUGUACUUCAUCAAGCAUGUAGCUAUGGAUACAGACACUGGAUGUGUCCCGAAUCUCUGAGGUGAACCACCUCAGAGAACCCCUCCCUCGACUUCCCGAACCAAGGUCAGUGUUCUUGAAAAUGAUCCAUUAAGUACCUUUGCAUGGCCUGUAAAAGAUAUUUAAGUAUUAUGGGUUCAGAAGGUGAGCUGUUCUCUAUCACUCGCAUGUGGACAGAAAAUAUCAACAGGUGUCUGCUUUGAAAGUAAUCCGUUACUAGCUAGGAGGUCUUAUGAACAGGGACACUGCACAUUUCCAGAGAAUGGCUAAUCUGGCAGUACCCUCGCCAAUCAGUGGAUUACAGACAUUUUCCAGUUGGAGACAUUUGUUUUGGUGUAUUUCGGCGAUAGAAAGUUUCAUCAACCCCAGCCAUCAUCAUCAUUGAGAUCACUUUGCAUAGCUGACGAUUGGAAUUUUGAAUGAUGUGGAUACCAAAUUCAGAUUUCUCUUUUUGCCGUCCGACACUUUGGAAUUGCCUUGCGGCAUCAAAAAAAGAAACAAGCUCUAGACUGUGUGCAGAAUGAGCACAGCUUGAAAUACCACUCCAUCUCAGCAGAGACCUUUGAUGUCUGAUGUUCUUUAAUGAAACAUCUCGCUCACAUCAGAGCACCCUAUUAAAUUCCGCUCAUACAGGGAGAGCGAGAGAACGAGUGAGAUUGAGAAAGCCAGAGCUCUGACCUUUUUGAGUGUGUGUGUGUGUGUGCGACAGUGAAAAAGAAAAGGAGGGAAUGAAACAACGGUGGCUUCAAACGCGGCCAGAUCACACAAAGGAGAAGAAACUGUCGAAACACACUUCAAAAGUACUUUAUUAAGCAUUAUCAUAAACUCCGUAGGUCAAAUCUACAUCACAGUGUCUACUUACAUCACAGUUUACUUUAUGUGUUUACACAAAUAUGGCAAGCACAGCAAGAUUGGAAAUAAAAACUUAUGUUGAGCUAAAGAUUAACAUUCGUUUUCUGCUAAGAAAUCUCUUCAUGAUAUCCGUGGUGUUUGUUGGGGUUGGUGCACAGUAGCGUUUUUUUCCAGGGAUGUAUAAUUUUGGUUUGGAUAAAAUCGGAAAUGAAAUCUCUCUCUUACAGGGAGAGCUUGAGGUUACACGACUGCAAAUCUUGACCCAUGAAAAAGAAAUGGCUAUGUAGCCAAAAGGCCUCCGUUGUAUAAUGCAAGCCAUGGGUGGAGCUCCUUUGGCUUAGUUACUGUAGCUUACAAGACUUGCAAUAUGAUUAAAGGUCCAAGAGUAAAGGGGAUCUGUUGACAAAAAUUGAGUAUAUUUUUUAUAAUAAUAAUGGGUGUACAAUCACCUUAAACUAAGAAUUGUUACAUUUUAUUAAUUUCAUUCAAUUUUUUAAACUUAAAUUGAGUCCUGUUUAUCUACUAAGGAGGCAGUCCCUCCUUCCACAGAGUCCACCAUUUUGCACUGCUGUGUGUGUGUGUGUGUGUGUGUGUGUGUGUAAGGAUUCAAAAGCGUAAGUCUUUCAAAGAGCGUCACUGCAGAUUGCAGAAGAGAGCUCUGAAGGUGAAGCAUUAUAAACAUCCAGAGUGAGCAUUAACUAAACAGGAGUGGAUUCAAAGAGCAGACAAAGCUUUUAAGGUGUUAAAAGUUAGAGAGUGCGUGUGUGUGAGUGCAUUAUAGAAAGGUGUGUGUGUGUGUGUGUGUGUGUGUGGGUGUGUGCGCCUGUCUUUGCUUAUAUAUAGAUGCUUGUUUUAGCAGUGUGUUUGCUGUAGCGAGGGAGCAUCCGCAAAAGAGCACAAGUGAGGCUACCGCACACACACACACACACAUACACAUGCACACACUCACAAACGCACACGCACACACGCACACAUACACACACACACACGCACAUACACACACACACACAUACACAUACACACAUACACACACACACACACAUACACACACACACACACACACACAUACACACGCGCACACACACACACACGCGCACACACACACACACACACACACACACACACACACACACACACACACACACCCCUAACCCUAAUGUAGCAUCAUAUCGAAGCAGUGACAGCAAAACAAUAAAACAAACAAACAAACCUACUGUAAUAGCAAACUUCGGAGCUGCUGGUUUUUUCCCUCUCCAAUGACUUUUCCUCAGAGAUAUCAAGACCAGCUCGACUUGCUAAUUUCAGAGCCAUGCAGUAGAUUAUCUCUAACAGCAUUAGCAGCGUAUAAUUCGGGCUAAUCCCAGGUGAUGGCUGAACUGUCGGCGGUUUUUCAGCCGGAGAGGAAGCGGAGCUCAGAGCCACAGGUGCAGCGCAGCAGUGCUGAGACACAGUGAAUCACUUAGCAACCACUUUGCCUUGUUACCCAGAAGCCACCGGGGUCCUGUUAGUGUAUUAGCAGGGUAUUCAGUUCUUUUCAUUAGUGCCCCUGGCUCAUAUCCGCUUUCACCUGGGUCACGGAUGAAAUAUGGGUUUUUUUUUCUUCCCCCAAAAAGGGCAAACGGCAGACUGCACUCCUGGGUUUUUAUUCCCCCUUUUUUUUCUUGGUGGAGCCCAAGUCUACUUCACAGGCAUUUUGUUUUUAUUCAUCCUUCGUACAAAGCGCAAGUAUCUCCUUGGCUGUCUCUCUUUCUCAGUAUAGGCAGAAAUCCUAUUUGCGUCCUCCUUCAUGGUGGUAUGGGGAAAAAGAAAUUCUGAUUGCUCUGUGUCCAUGAGUCCAGCUCAGUGCAGCUCA